rnacentral:rRNA from 1 species
AGUGAACGCUGGCGGUAGGCCUAACACAUGCAAGUCGAACGGCAGCACAGUAAGAGCCUGCUCUUACGGGUGGCGAGUGGCGGACGGGUGAGGAAUACAUCGGAAUCUACUUUUUCGUGGGGGAUAACGUAGGGAAACUUACGCUAAUACCGCAUACGACCUACGGGUGAAAGCAGGGGAUCUUCGGACCUUGCGCGAUUGAAUGAGCCGAUGUCGGAUUAGCUAGUUGGCGGGGUAAAGGCCCACCAAGGCGACGAUCCGUAGCUGGUCUGAGAGGAUGAUCAGCCACACUGGAACUGAGACACGGUCCAGACUCCUACGGGAGGCAGCAGUGGGGAAUAUUGGACAAUGGGCGCAAGCCUGAUCCAGCCAUACCGCGUGGGUGAAGAAGGCCUUCGGGUUGUAAAGCCCUUUUGUUGGGAAAGAAAAGCAGCAGGUUAAUACCCCGCUGUUCUGACGGUACCCAAGGAAUAAGCACCGGCUAACUUCGUG